UACGGAGGGUGCGAGCGUUGUCCGGAAUCAUUGGGCGUAAAGGGCGCGUAGGUGGCCCGGCAAGCGUGCGGUGAAAGCUCGGGGCUCAACCCCGAGUCGGCCGUGCGAACUGCUGGGCUCGAGCACUGUAGAGGCAGGCGGAAUUCCGGGUGUAGCGGUGGAAUGCGUAGAGAUCCGGAAGAACACCGGUGGCGAAGGCGGCCUGCUGGGCAGUGGCUGACACUGAGGCGCGACAGCGUGGGGAGCAAACAGG
rnacentral:rRNA from 1 species